ACAGCAAUAUGAAGGUCAGGCUGAAGACCUUACCCGAUUAGGCUGAGAGGUGGUGCAUGGCCGUCGUCAGUUCGUACUGUGAAGCAUCCUGUUAAGUCAGGCAACGAGCGAGACCCACGUCCACAGUUGCCAGCAUACCCUCCGGGGUGAUGGGUACACUGUGGAGACCGCCGGCUGCUAAAGCGGAGGAAGGAGUGGGCAACGGUAGGUCAGUAUGCCCCGAAUCUCCCGGGCUACACGCGGGCUACAAUGGUUGGUACAAUGGGCAUCUACCCCGAAAGGGGAAGGAAAUCUCUUAAAGCCAAUCGUAGUUCGGAUUGAGGGCUGCAACUCGCCCUCAUGAAGCUGGAAUCCGUAGUAAUCGCGUUUCAACAGAACGCGGUGAAUACGUCCCUGCUCCUU
rnacentral:rRNA from 1 species